UACGUGGGGGGCAAGCGUUGUCCGGAUUCAUUGGGCGUAAAGAGCUCGUAGGCGGCUUGGCAAGUCGGGUGUGAAAACUUCAGGCUCAACCUGGAGCGGCCACUCGAUACUGCCAUGGCUAGAGUCCGGUAGGGGACCACGGAAUUCCUGGUGUAGCGGUGAAAUGCGCAGAUAUCAGGAGGAACACCGGUGGCGAAGGCGGUUCUCUGGGCAUUACCUGACGCUGAGGAGCGAAAGUGUGGGGAGCGAACAGG
rnacentral:rRNA from 1 species